UGGGCUGUAUCUCAAUUGGUAGAGCAGCGCAUUUGCGUUUGCAAUGCGUGUGUUGGGGAUCGAGUCCCCUCAGCCUCA